UACGAGUGCCCCGAGCGUUAUCCGGAAUUAUUGGGCGUAAAGGGUGUGUAGGCGGUUAUGGUAGUCUUCUGUUAAAUUCUUCGGCUUAACCGGGGCAGAGCAGAGGAAACGGCAUAACUAGAGGAUGCGAGAGGUGAAUGGAACUCAUGGAGUAGGGGUGAAAUCCGUUGAUAUCAUGGGGAACACCAAAUGCGAAGGCAAUUCACUGGCGCACUCCUGACGCUGAGACACGAAAGCGUAGGUAGCGAAUGGG
rnacentral:rRNA from 1 species